CAUUAAGAAGCUAUGAAUCAGCAACAGCCUUUUAAUCUGUAGACAGGUGACUAAACCCACCCUCAAUGA
rnacentral:tRNA from 1 species